rnacentral:rRNA from 1 species
GACGAACGCUGGCGGCGUGCUUAACACAUGCAAGUCGAACGGAAAGGCCCUGCUUGCAGGGUACUCGAGUGGCGAACGGGUGAGUAACACGUGGGUGAUCUGCCCUGCACUUCGGGAUAAGCCUGGGAAACUGGGUCUAAUACCGGAUAGGAGCCAUUUUUAGUGUGAUGGUUGGAAAGUUUUUUCGGUGUAGGAUGAGCUCGCGGCCUAUCAGCUUGUUGGUGGGGUAAUGGCCUACCAAGGCGGCGACGGGUAGCCGGCCUGAGAGGGUGGACGGCCACAUUGGGACUGAGAUACGGCCCAGACUCUUACGGGAGGAAGAAGUGGGGAAUAUUGCACAAUGGGCGCAAGCCUGAUGCAGCGACGCCGCGUGGGGGAUGACGGCCUUCGGGUUGUAAACUCCUUUCGCUAGGGACGAAGCUUUUUGUGACGGUACCUAGAUAAGAAGCACCGGCUAACUACGUG